AUACUUACCUGGCAGGGGAGAUACCAUGAGCACGAAGGUGGUUUUCCCAGGGCGAGGCUUAUCCAUUGCACUCCGGAUGUGCUGACCCCUGCGAUUUCCCCAAAUGUGGGAAACUCGACUGCAUAAUUUGUGGUAUGGGGGGACUGCGUUCGCGCUCUCCCCUG
ensembl:snRNA U1 U1 spliceosomal RNA